GACGAACGCUGGCGGCGUGCUUAACACAUGCAAGUCGAACGAAGAGCGAUGGAAGCUUGCUUCUAUCAAUCUUAGUGGCGAACGGGUGAGUAACGCGUAAUCAACCUGCCCUUCAGAGGGGGACAACAGUUGGAAACGACUGCUAAUACCGCAUACGAUCUAAUCUCGGCAUCGAGGAUAGAUGAAAGGUGGCCUCUACAUGUAAGCUAUCACUGAAGGAGGGGAUUGCGUCUAAUUAGCUAGUUGGAGGGGUAACGGCCCACCAAGGCGAUGAUCAGUAGCCGGUCUGAGAGGAUGAACGGCCACAUUGGGACUGAGACACGGCCCAGACUCCUACGGGAGGCAGCAGUGGGGAAUCUUCCGCAAUGGACGAAAGUCUGACGGAGCAACGCCGCGUGAGUGAUGACGGCCUUCGGGUUGUAAAGCUCUGUUAAUCGGGACGAAAGGCCUUCUUGCGAAUAGUGAGAAGGAUUGACGGUACCGGAAUAGAAAGCCACGGCUAACUACGUG
rnacentral:rRNA from 1 species